rnacentral:rRNA from 1 species
GGGGAUCUGCCCGAUAGAGGGGGAUAACCACUGGAAACGGUGGCUAAUACCGCAUAACGUCGCAAGACCAAAGAGGGGGACCUUCGGGCCUCUCACUAUCGGAUGAACCCAGAUGGGAUUAGCUAGUAGGCGGGGUAAUGGCCCACCUAGGCGACGAUCCCUAGCUGGUCUGAGAGGAUGACCAGCCACACUGGAACUGAGACACGGUCCAGACUCCUACGGGAGGCAGCAGUGGGGAAUAUUGCACAAUGGGCGCAAGCCUGAUGCAGCCAUGCCGCGUGUAUGAAGAAGGCCUUCGGGUUGUAAAGUACUUUCAGCGGGGAGGAAGGCGACGGGGUUAAUAACCCUGUCGAUUGACGUUACCCGCAGAAGAAGCACCGGCUAACUCCGUGCCAGCAGCCGCGGUAAUACGGAGGGUGCAAGCGUUAAUCGGAAUUACUGGGCUUAAAGCGCACGCAGGCGGUCUGUUAAGUCAGAUGUGAAAUCCCCGGGCUUAACCUGGGAACUGCAUUUGAAACUGGCAGGCUUGAGUCUUGUAGAGGGGGGUAGAAUUCCAGGU